UACGAAGGGGCUAGCGUUGCUCGGAAUCACUGGGCGUAAAGCGCACGUAGGCGGAUUGUUAAGUCAGGGGUGAAAUCCUGGAGCUCAACUCCAGAACUGCCUUUGAUACUGGCGAUCUUGAGUCCGGGAGAGGUGAGUGGAACUGCGAGUGUAGAGGUGAAAUUCGUAGAUAUUCGCAAGAACACCAGUGGCGAAGGCGGCUCACUGGCCCGGUACUGACGCUGAGGUGCGAAAGCGUGGGGAGCAACAGGG
rnacentral:rRNA from 1 species